UUUAGGUUCCCCCGCCUCUCUCUUUCUCUCUCUCAUUUCUCACUUUGUCUGUCUCACAUUCAACCUCUCUCUCUCUCAGAGCAAUUUGAGCCCAUCGUCUACUCGUUGGUCCGUACUCGCCUUCUUUGAUCUUUUCCCACUGGAGAGUUGUCGCCCAGGCUUGUUUAGGUCCUUCUCUCUCCGGUCUCACGCCUCUCUUCGCAUCUGAGCUCCCGGAAGAACAACCGGCUGUAUUAGUGUGUUUUGGGGCUCUUUUUGUCUAUUGGAGAUGUGAGUGGCGGCUGAAUAGCUGAGGAGGGAUUUCUUUCCCUCUUUCGAAUGGUUGUUUCCCACUAAGCUGCUAUGUCACCAGCCCAGAUUUGAGUUUCGUUACCAAGGAAAGCCUUUGUUUCCGAGUUUGGAUGUGACUAAUCCUAUGGCCUCUCUGUCUGAUUGUUCAUUUGCAUCGUAAUUCAGUGUUAAUCCUUUGUUAAA